rnacentral:rRNA from 1 species
UACAGAGGGGGCAAGCGUUGUUCGGAAUUACUGGGCGUAAAGCGUGCGCAGGCGGUUCUGUAAGUCUGUUGUGAAAUCCCCGGGCUUAACCUGGGAAUUGCGAUGGAGACUGCAAGGCUAGAAUCUGGCAGAGGGGGGUAGAAUUCCACGUGUAGCAGUGAAAUGCGUAGAGAUGUGGAGGAACACCGAUGGCGAAGGCAGCCCCCUGGGUCAAGAUUGACGCUCAUGCACGAAAGCGUGGGGAGCAAACAGG